GGGAGCUUGGCUCAGUUGGAAGAGCGCAGGUCUCAUAUUUCGAUAUGAUCUGAUCAUAGAUCAGAGUAAUCCUGAGGUCGUGAGUUCGAGCCUCACAGUUCCCA